GGAAAAGAAACUAACAAGGAUUCCCCUAGUAACUGCGAGUGAAGCGGGAAGAGCUCAAAUUUAAAAUCUGGCAGUCUUUGGCUGUCCGAGUUGUAGUCUGGAGAAGUGCUUUCCGCGCUGGACCAUGUACAAGUCUCUUGGAACAGAGUGUCAUAGAGGGUGAGAAUCCCGUCUUUGACAUGGACUACCAGUGCUUUGUGAUGUGCUCUCAAAGAGUCGAGUUGUUUGGGAAUGCAGCUCAAAAUGGGUGGUAAAUUCCAUCUAAAGCUAAAUAUUGGCGAGAGACCGAUAGCGAACAAGUACCGUGAGGGAAAGAUGAAAAGCACUUUGGAAAGAGAGUUAAACAGUACGUGAAAUUGCUGAAAGGGAAACGCUUGAAGUCAGUCACAUUGGCCAGGACUCAGCCUUGCUUUUGCUUGGUGCACUUUCUGGUUGAUGGGCCAGCAUCAAUUUUGACCACUGGAUAAAGGCUUGAGGGAAUGUGGCACCUUCGGGUGUGUUAUAGCCCUUGGUCACAUACAGUGGUUGGGAUUGAGGACCACAGCAUGCCUUUUAUGGCCGGGGUUUUGCCCACGUUUCGUGCUUAGGAUGCUGGCGUAAUGGCUUUAAACGACCCGUCUUGAAACACGGACCAAGGAGUCUAACAUGCCUGCGAGUGUUUGGGUGGAAAACCCGAGCGCACAAUGAAAGUGAAAGUUGAGAUCUCUGUCAUGGGGAGCAUUGACGCCCGGACCUGAUCUUUGGUGAUGGAUCCGCGGUAGAGCAUGUAUGUUGGGACCCGAAAGAUGGUGAACUAUGCCUGAAUAGGGUGAAGCCAGAGGAAACUCUGGUGGAGGCUCGUAGCGAUUCUGACGUGCAAAUCGAUCGUCAAAUUUGGGUAUAGGGGCGAAAGACUAAUCGAACC
rnacentral:rRNA from 1 species